UACAGAGGGGGCUAGCGUUGCUCGGAAUCACUGGGCGUAAAGCGCACGUAGGCGGCUUCUUAAGUCAGGGGUGAAAUCCUGGAGCUCAACUCCAGAACUGCCUCUGAUACCGAAGAGCUAGAGUCCGGAAGAGGUGAGUGGAACUGCGAGUGUAGAGGUGAAAUUCGUAGAUAUUCGCAAGAACACCAGUGGCGAAGGCGGCUCACUGGCCCGGUACUGACGCUGAGGUGCGAAAGCGUGGGGAGCAAACAGG
rnacentral:rRNA from 1 species